rnacentral:rRNA from 1 species
CCUACGGGCGGCUGCAGUGGGGAAUAUUGGACAAUGGGGGGAACCCUGAUCCAGCCAUGCCGCGUGUGUGAAGAAGGCCCUCGGGUUGUAAAGCACUUUCAGUGAGGAAGAACGCCUGGUGGUUAAUACCCAUCAGGAAAGACAUCACUCACAGAAGAAGCACCGGCUAACUCCGUGCCAGCAGCCGCGGUAAUACGGAGGGUGCGAGCGUUAAUCGGAAUUACUGGGCGUAAAGCGCGCGUAGGUGGCUUGAUAAGCCGGUUGUGAAAGCCCCGGGCUCAACCUGGGAACGGCAUCCGGAACUGUCAAGCUAGAGUGCAGGAGAGGAAGGUGGAAUUCCCGGUGUAGCGGUGAAAUGCGUAGAGAUCGGGAGGAAUACCAGUGGCGAAGGCGGCCUUCUGGACUGACACUGACACUGAGGUGCGAAAGCGUGGGUAGCAAACAGGAUUAGAUACCCUUGUAGUC